CAGCCUCCGACGAGAAACCGCAGACUUCGUGUACUUCCAGGCUACGGACCACGGCAUAUUACACUUACAUACUAUAUGUCUCUCCGGUGGACGAAGGGAAACAAGGGAGCCAAAAAGUGGGAGCGAGAUUUGGCAGUGUCGACGACAUGCAGAGUAUAUAGCUUUAACUAAGGAGUGUUAGAAAUUCCUGUUUGAAAUUGAAUAACGCUACAUGAUCUAUAUAUAUUUACUACAGCAAAUACACAUACGGUGAUAACAGAACGACUCUAACACGUUCAAAUGACCGAUGCGAAAACAGCCCGACACAAAUAACAUUUUAUAAAAAAAACAAUCACAUCUCACGUAUAUCUAAUUGUACUUCUCG